CCCAUUGACACACUCAAUCCCCUGCUGCUGGGAGGGCAAAACACAAAGGUUCUCCUUGAAUCCUGUAAGGACAAGGCUUGCAGCAUUUGAACUGGGACAUCAACUCUUCCUGGUUCCACAGCAGCCUGCUGGGCGUCAGACUCAACUGGGACAUGGGUGUUCCAGAUUUUGAACUUGAAAGCCUCUAUAAUCACGUUGAACCUAUUGUUUCUGCUUCUCUGAAGAACACGAAUAUAUGAGAAAACAAAGCAUUAUCAAUAACCAUUAUAGGUCCCUAUCUGAGCAAGAUAGACCUGUCAACCUAUGCCAGCUCCUGAGGAUGGUGCAACAGAAACAAUGUAGGAUCUGUCGGCCUCCUAACCCAGAAGAGGUUGCCUCCAUUACAGGAAGAAAAAUGUCACAUAUGUCUAAGGAUCACCCAAGUAGCCAUGGGGGCAGCAAUGGACCCAGGUUUUAUGGAAUUUUUUUGGGGGGGUGGAUUUUUUUUAAGAAAGUGAAAUUACAAAAUGUACAGAAAUACAUAUUCAUAAAAUAUAUUUAAACAUA